CCUACGGGGGGCUGCAGUGGGGAAUAUUGCACAAUGGGCGAAAGCCUGAUGCAGCAACGCCGCGUGAGCGAUGAAGGCCUUCGGGUCGUAAAGCUCUGUCCUAUGGGAAGAUAAUGACGGUACCAUAGGAGGAAGCCCCGGCUAACUACGUGCCAGCAGCCGCGGUAAUACGUAGGGGGCAAGCGUUAUCCGGAAUUACUGGGCGUAAAGGGUGCGUAGGCGGUUUAUCAAGUCAGGGGUGAAAGGCUACGGCUCAACCGUAGUGAGCCUCUGAA
rnacentral:rRNA from 1 species